UACGUAGGGUGCGAGCGUUGUCCGGAAUUAUUGGGCGUAAAGGGCUCGUAGGCGGUCUGUUGCGUCAGGAGUGAAAACUCGGGGCUUAACCCCCGAGCCUGCUUCUGAUACGGGCAGACUAGAGGUAUGCAGGGGAGAACGGAAUUCCUGGUGUAGCGGUGAAAAUGCGCAGAUAUCAGGAGGAACACCGGUGGCGAAGGCGGUUCUCUGGGCAUUACCUGACGUGAGGAGCGAAAGUGUGGGGGAGCGAACAGG
rnacentral:rRNA from 1 species